UCCUGUGAUAGCUCAGUUGGUACAGCAUGAGAUUAUUUAUCUCAAUAUUGUGGGUUCAAGCCCCACCUUAGGGAA